ensembl:snoRNA
GCAUGGGUUUGGAUUUAUGAUGGGCCAGAUUCCCUAGGCCUCCCAUAGUACCCCAUGCCAGAGCAAACUGUAGCCCCAACCAUUGCCUGGCCUGUAUGCCUGUAGGCUGCUGGCACGGAAGUGGGUUGCACAGUA